GAGAGCGUGUGUGAGUGGGGGAGAGGCAGAGAGACAGGGAGACACAGAAUCUGACGCAGGCUCCGGGCUCUGAGCUGUCAGCACAGAGCCUGACGCAGGGCUUGAACUCGUGAACUGAGAGAUCAUGAGCUAAGCCAAAGUUGGACACUCAACUGACUGAGCCACUCAGGCACCCCAAGACCAUCCUUUUCAAAGGCACAAUUGAAGGGAAAAGGGCCAAGCAGGACUACUUCCCUGCCUCCCUCUGCUAGAUCCUAUUGUUCUAAGAAUCCUGGGCAUACACAGCACACGUGCCAAUGUGCGCUCUGUCACCUCCCAGGUGACACUGAGGAAGAGGGUCAUGGUCAGUGCCUGCAGGACCAGGAACCGAGUCUUGUCCAGCAGGGGCAGGAACCUCUCCCAGGGGUAGUGCUCCACUACUACUCUGUUAAGAGUCUCUGCGUGAAUCUCUUUGGAAGCAAGUGUCCAAGAAUGUGCUCAGUUCUCUGUGUCUUAGGAACUUGGAACAGAGAGAAGGUCAUUGGGUGAGUUUUGGUUUUUCAAAGAACAGGAUAUUGCAGGCACCACUCAGGAAGCACAACGGAGUCUUACCAGGAUCUUGCUGGGGAACUUCGCCUGGAUUCUAGCGACUUCCUCUCUUCUGGUUGCUGUGAACAUGCAAGUUCAAAUUAAUACAUCGGCAUGUAAUAGAAGUCUGUAUCUCCUUUCCUCCCUGUCUCAAGGGCCAGAACCCAGACAGCUACUCUGAGAACUUUACCUAAACUCUUCCUCUCCUUGAAGGGUCUGAGGCUUUGGGUUUUCUGUGGAGGCUGCAUUUUGCUCAACAGCUGUGUCUCUGUCUGACUUAAAAAAAAAAAAAAAAAUCCCACAACCAGGACCUAAUUCAUUCCUCCAGCUGCUUCCAAACCACCUGCAGGAGCCUAAAGGAGGCCCUUAGGUAGGGCUGUGUGACAUCAGGCGUCUCCAACCCGCCUUCCCCUGCCCCUCCCUGGGCAGGAGGAGGUCAGUCCUGAGGAAGGACCUGGAACAGCCACCUGCUUGCUGGUCUGAGAAGGCUGCUUUGCUCACAACCGCGAAUGGAGACACCGUGAUCUUCAGAGGGUGUCCCCGGCACCAUUCCAUGCAGAGAUACCUGACAUUGGAAGAGUCUUCUGUCAAAUGAUAAUGAUGUAGAGGAAAGUGACCAAACAUUCUCCAGGUUGUUGAGGGACAGAAGGAAAGUGGUGCGGUUCAGAGGAAAGAAGAAAAUGAUUGAUGUUUCUCCUUUAUUUCCCUGUUUUCAAGAUGAUGAGUUGCAUACCCUAUCACUCUGAAGACAAAAUUUCCCCAGUGAUCUGAUUAAUACCAGAUCUUCUCUUACGUAUGGAUUUGAAAACAGAGGCUUCAUAAUGUGACUUACCUCUGAAUCGGAAUCCUUAUGAGAAGGCUGAGACAGUUUUGACACAUUUAAAU